CAUCCGCAGGCUGGCUGCCCCCCAGGCUUGGCUGGGCAAGUGUCUCUUUGAAAGGCUCACCCUCAAGCACGACUCGGAGC
rnacentral:pre_miRNA from 1 species